rnacentral:rRNA from 1 species
GCAGCCGCCGCGGUAAUACGUAGGUGGCAAGCGUUGUCCGGAUUUAUUGGGUUUAAAGGGUGCGUAGGCGGCAUUUUAAGUCAGUGGUGAAAUACGGCAGCUCAACUGUCGAGGUGCCAUUGAUACUGGGAUGCUUGAGUACUGAUGAGGUAGGCGGAAUGGACGGUGUAGCGGUGAAAUGCUUAGAUAUCGUCCAGAACACCGAUAGCGAAGGCAGCUUACUAAGGAGUAACUGACGCUGAGGCACGAAAGUGGGGGAUCAAACAGGAUUAGAUACCCCCGUAGUCCCUGUCUCUUAUACA